rnacentral:rRNA from 1 species
AAUGCCUAGGAAUCUGCCUGGUAGUGGGGGAUAACGUUCGGAAACGGACGCUAAUACCGCAUACGUCCUACGGGAGAAAGCAGGGGACCUUCGGGCCUUGCGCUAUCAGAUGAGCCUAGGUCGGAUUAGCUAGUUGGUGAGGUAAUGGCUCACCAAGGCGACGAUCCGUAACUGGUCUGAGAGGAUGAUCAGUCACACUGGAACUGAGACACGGUCCAGACUCCUACGGGAGGCAGCAGUGGGGAAUAUUGGACAAUGGGCGAAAGCCUGAUCCAGCCAUGCCGCGUGUGUGAAGAAGGUCUUCGGAUUGUAAAGCACUUUAAGUUGGGAGGAAGGGCAGUUACCUAAUACGUGAUUGUUUUGACGUUACCGACAGAAUAAGCACCGGCUAACUCUGUGCCAGCAGCCGCGGUAAUACAGAGGGUGCAAGCGUUAAUCGGAAUUACUGGGCGUAAAGCGCGCGUAGGUGGUUAGUUAAGUUGGAUGUGAAAUCCCCGGGCUCAACCUGGGAACUGCAUUCAAAACUGACUGACUAGAGUAUGGUAGAGGGUGGUGGAAUUU